rnacentral:misc_RNA from 1 species
AUCUGAAUGAACCAGGUUGGCCACUAAUAUGUUGAAAUUGAUGUUUGGUCAUAAGUAAUUGCUUUAGAAGUGAUAUAAUUUGGUACGAAUGUUAAAGUGCAAGACUGAUAAAAGCUAUAUUAUGAACUUGUUGAGUUCUCGGCGGACUUUUAUCAAUCAUUGAUCGUAAGACAUUAGUUGGUCAAAUUUCAUACCUUAGGAGUUAGGAAUUACAUUUUGCAUUGUAAUUCCCACCCAUCAUUUCAAACUACUUUCAAACCUUUUUGCCUAAUGAGAAACUAAAUGGUUGAUAUUGGAUUAUCUUUUUCACACUAAUAAAUUUUUAAAUAUUACAUUGAUAAUUUGCAAAUAUAUCAAAUGCUUAAAAGAUUUUUGCUAGUGGGCUUUAUGCAUA